AGCUAAUCAACAGAGUUCUCAUGUAUUUUAAUUUGACAAAAUCUUCACCAAAGCACAUGCGCAUUAAGAAGAAGGAAUUUCAGGAAGCCGUCACAACCUUACUAAUAUGGCGCCUGCAUGGCUAUCUAAGAGAUGCGCACAAGGACAGUGAUUACACAAGAUUUGACUGAGGUACUGGCAUUUUUAAUAUAGCGUUUUAGGAGGUCUGGGGGGGGGUACAAUAAAAGGAGCAUGGUAUUGUUUUUUUCCUUUCCUUCUCCUUUAAUGUUAACAGCAGGGUUAAGGCAGUAGCAUACAUUGUCGGUUCGGUUCUGUGUUUGUAGUUACUUUUGUUGUAUACUGACUAUUAACCCUUUCACCAAUGUUGUCAGCCAUUGCCUUGGCUCUCCAAUGGAACUGGGCUUAAAAAUAUUCACAAACAUUAGUCUUCUCAUUACUUAAGUGCAGGAUAGCUUUGUGCCUGUAGGGACACUUUGCU